rnacentral:rRNA from 1 species
CCUACGGGUGGCAGCAGUGAGGAAUAUUGGUCAAUGGCCGAGAGGCUGAACCAGCCAAGUCGCGUGAGGGAAGACGGCCCUACGGGUUGUAAACCUCUUUUGUCGGGGAGCAAAUGCGGGGACGUGUCCCCGGAUGAGUGUACCUGAAGAAACAGCAUCGGCUAACUGCGUGCCAGCAGCCGCGGUAAUUCGGAGGGUGCGAGCGUUAUCCGGAUUUAUUGGGGGUAAAGGGUGCGCAGGCGGGAUUGUAAGCUAGCGGGGAAAGCCCGGGGGCUAACCCGCGCCCCGCCGUUGAAACUGGCAGUCUCGAGUUGGAGAGAAGUAUGCGGAAUGCGCGGUGUAGCGGUGAAAUGCGUAGAUAUCGCGCAGAACUCCGAUUGCGAAGGCAGCAUGCCGGCUCCACACUGACGCUGAGGCACGAAAGCGUGGGUAUCGAACAGGAUUAGAUACCCCUGUAGUC